GUUUAGUUUCCAUAAAUACUUCCGCAUUAAUGCUGUCACAGCUGUUUUGAGGCCAAAAGCCUUCAACAGAACAGUGACUCUGCAGUUUGAUGGAAUGAAACACAUCCAAGGUGAUAAGUAGAAGCAGCGAUGAACUAAUUACAUAAGGGGAGGGCUCUGUAUCUCAUUUCCUAAUUUGUGAAAGAAGCAGAAAUAUACAACUGGCCCAUAGCACUGAGAAGAGAUGCUAAAUGGCAUGAUUAAUUUGAAAAAAAAUAAUGUGGAAUUGCAGAGAAGCAACAUCCACCUCUCUGUAUUUGUCUGUCAGUUUUCCCUAAAUUCUUAAGGAAAAACAAAGAAAGAAGUUUUGGGAAGAUGGGGAAGAAAGGGACGAUAGAGUGUCUCAGUUACUGAAGCAUAAACAACUAUGCUAACUGCAAUGAUCCUUCCACCAGAAAAAUGUAUACAGCGGUGAAGAUCUGUAAAUUAAUCAUAGGAUCUUGACAAAUCCACAACUUUACAUUCAUUAUGCAAGUGAAUUUCAAAGUUGAAUUAUUCCUUGUAUUUCACCCAUUAAUCUUUGGAACCCUAUGAUAUGAAUAGAACAUGGACAGACCUGCAUGGAGCUGGCACUGUCUUCCACCUGUGGCAUCCAAAUGUAGACCAGCUGGGAACAGCCAUAGCAAACUUCAGAUGUUGCCUUCAGUGAUCAGGAACUUAUGAAAGCUUGUCUCUCUGCUACCACCUCUGUAUUUUCCUUCAGUCUAGCCCACUCCAGACUCUGACUGCAAUCUUCCCCAGCCCUCUAGCCUGAGUUUUAACAAGAUUUUCUGUUAAUACAGAACAUGGGUACCCAUCUACUAAAUAAGCAGGCUAAAGUUGGCUGUUGGGGCUUCAGCAA
rnacentral:lncRNA from 1 species